rnacentral:rRNA from 1 species
AUUGAACGCUGGCGGCAGGCCUAAUACAUGCAAGUCGAGCGGAGCGGCGGACGGGUGAGUAAUGCCUAGGUAUCUACCUGGCCGUUGGGGAUAAGGUCAGGUCACGGGCGCGGAGAUAGCAUAGUACCAGCUGAGACUUGGUGGGAUUAGCUGGUUGGUGGGGUAAAGGCUUACCAAGGCGACGAUCCGUAACUGGUCUGAGAGGAUGAUCAGUCACACUGGAACUGAGACACGGUCCAGACUCCUACGGGAGGCAGCAGUGGGGAAUAUUGGACAAUGGGCGAAAGCCUGAUCCAGCCAUGCCGCGUGUGUGAAGAAGGUCUUCGGAUUGUAAAGCACUUUAAGUUGGGAGGCGUUACCAACAGAAUAAGCACCGGCUAACUUCGUGCCAGCAACCGCGGUAAUAC